UCAGUUCAACCGUUCUAAAUUUGUUCAAGAAUGUGCUGCAAAAAGCCACCAGUUCCUUGUUCGGCUAGGAAAGGAGGCCAUCCAUCGGGCGAUCCUGCUCUGAAAGGGCUGGCACAGUACUUCAAUUCCAGUACCCUUAGCGGAAGAGCAAACGUCGCUAAGGCUACGCUUUCUGGAAUCCUUCUGGGAGUGGUCUACUACAAGUGGAACAAGUGGUCAAAGAGUGAAAAUAGGACAGACUAGAAUCUGAGAGUUGCAGCAUGUUCAAGCAAAAUUCAAAUAAUUUCGCUUGUCACUAAAAUUAUCAAAUCAACAUGAGAUGAAAUUCAAAUAGUUCUAUGUUACUUUGGUUCCACACUCUUCGAAUCAAUGAAUCGAUCCAUCCAUUUUUUCUUGUGGUUCAAUAAUUUCAUCCUUCCGAGGAUGUUGGAAGAUUUGGUCGAUAGAUAUGUUUAUAAACAUCGUCGAUUUCAUAACGGGAUCUUCUUCGAUUUAACGAACGGCUCCCAUGUGCCAACACCGUACAAGUGGUGUUGAUCUCAUCCGCUGAAGGGGCGUUUUGUUUGGAAACAGUGUUCCUCCCCUACUCACGUUCAGGUGGGAUCCAACAAACAAAGCAGAGAGCGAAAAAAAAAACGAAAGCCACUUCGAUCAGGAUGCAGGCAGGCAACGACGCAACCGGAAGCUCGUUUCAAUAUUAUUACGGAAGGGUACGAUGAUAUCGGAGAUACAGUUAUCUAUUAUACAAAGGAAAUUAAAAUCGGACUUUGAUGGAAAUCGAGAGGAACUGUGCCACUAAGAGGCUUCGAUGGUAGAGCAAAAAAAAAAACGUUGGCGAAAUUUGGUAAUUCUUGCUCAAGCUGCCUACUUGGAUGGAUCGAAUUUCCCUCGAGCGUUUAACGCAGUAAACGGUGUGUGUGGUUUUUCUUGCGUUUCGUAACAAACAGCAGACUAAUGAGCGCUUCCAUGCUUGAAAACAACUGAGGAUCAAAUGAUGCUGAAAUAUGAGUUGAAAAUUGUGUCGACCAAGACGGGGAAAAAAGCGAUAAUUAGGAUUUUUUUCAAAUAUGUAAGUUCCUCGGAAAAAAAAUGUCUCCGGAACCGACGGAUUUGGUACUGGAACUGGGACCCAACGGAGGCUAUAAUUAUUGGAAACAAUACCACCCCGCUGAAAAUUAUUAUCUUGCCUUCUAGCUCGGCAUUGUGACCCAGAUGAGACAGUUAAAAUUGGUCCUGUGACCCACGGCAGAGUACCUUCAGUAAAGUCGGACAGCCUGUAAUUAAAAAUCAAUUUUGCUCUUCA